rnacentral:lncRNA from 1 species
ACCACUCGAAUUUCUCCUUACUCUUCUUAUAUUCAAUCUCCUCAUCGGGCGGCGAAUAUUCCACCAUCGUCGGAGAAAUCGCCACCAAAAAGUUCCCAACAAUGAUCUCGUUCUACAAAAUCUGUCGCUUUCGUGUAUUUUCCAAAUCUGUCAUCUCGAAUUAUGGUGGUAGCGUAAUCAAUUUUGUUGAACGAGUUGCUAAUGGAAUGUCGAAAAAU